GACGUAGGGCGCGAGCGUUGUCCGGAUUUAUUGGGCGUAAAGAGCUCGUAGGCGGCUUGUCGCGUCGACUGUGAAAACCCGCGGCUCAACUGCGGGCCUGCAGCCGAUACGGGCAGGCUAGAGUUCGGUAGGGGAGACUGGAAUUCCUGGUGUAGCGGUGAAAUGCGCAGAUAUCAGGAGGAACACCGAUGGCGAAGGCAGUGAUCUGGGCCAGUACUGACGCUGGAGGAGCGAAAGCGUGGGGAGCAAACAGG
rnacentral:rRNA from 1 species